GACGAACGCUGGCGGCGUGCUUAACACGUGCAGGUCGAACGGAAAGGCCCUGCUUUUGUGGGGUGCUCGAGUGGCGAACGGGUGAGUAACACGUGAGUAACCUGCCCUUGACUUUGGGAUAACUUCAGGAAACUGGGGCUAAUACCGGAUAGGAGCUCCUGCUGCGUGGUGGGGGUUGGAAAGUUUCGGCGGUUGGGGAUGGACUCGCGGCUUAUCAGCUUGUUGGUGGGGUAGUGGCUUACCAAGGCUUUGACGGGUAGCCGGCCUGAGAGGGUGACCGGCCACAUUGGGACUGAGAUACGGCCCAGACUCCUACGGGAGGCAGCAGUGGGGAAUCUUCCGCAAUGGGCGAAAGCCUGACGGAGCAACGCCGCGUGAGUGAUGAAGGUCUUCGGAUCGUAAAACUCUGUUAUUAGGGAAGAACAAAUGUGUAAGUAACUAUGCACGUCUUGACGGUACCUAAUCAGAAAGCCACGGCUAACUACGUG
rnacentral:rRNA from 1 species